GCUUGCUUUCUUGAGCGAGUGGCGAACGGGUGAGUAACGCGUGAGGAACCUGCCUCAAAGAGGGGGACAACAGUUGGAAACGACUGCUAAUACCGCAUAAGCCCACGGCUCGGCAUCGAGCAGAGGGAAAAGGAGCAAUCCGCUUUGAGAUGGCCUCGCGUCCGAUUAGCUAGUUGGUGAGGUAACGGCCCACCAAGGCGACGAUCGGUAGCCGGACUGAGAGGUUGAACGGCCACAUUGGGACUGAGACACGGCCCAGACUCCUACGGGAGGCAGCAGUGGGGAAUAUUGCACAAUGGGGGAAACCCUGAUGCAGCGACGCCGCGUGGAGGAAGAAGGUCUUCGGAUUGUAAACUCCUGUUGUUGAGGAAGAUAAUGACGGUACUCAACAAGGAAGUGACGGCUAACUACGUGCCAGCAGCCGCGGUAAAACGUAGGUCACAAGCGUUGUCCGGAAUUACUGGGUGUAAAGGGAGCGCAGGCGGGAAGACAAGUUGGAAGUGAAAUCCAUGGGCUCAACCCAUGAACUGCUUUCAAAACUGUUUUUCUUGAGUAGUGCAGAGGUAGGCGGAAUUCCCGGUGUAGCGGUGGAAUGCGUAGAUAUCGGGAGGAACACCAGUGGCGAAGGCGGCCUACUGGGCACCAACUGACGCUGAGGCUCGA
rnacentral:rRNA from 1 species